AUACUUAUGAAAAAGAUUGUAUCAUUUAUCAAAUUUUGAAAUCAAUAAAGGAUUUCUUAUAAAUUCUAUAGUAUUUUAAAAUAGAUGGUAAGGGUUCUCCUAUAUAGGUGAAUUAAAGAAGGUGCCCUCACAAUCUAAUAGGUUGGGUUGUGGUAAUUGGUAUCAUAGACCUAGUUACUUAUCUCAUAAGUACAAGACCAAAUGUUGAGUAGAGUCCUAUGGAUUGGUGUGUAAACGUCCACAUCAAAUCCUUAGGAAGCUAUGGGGCAUUCUCAGAAUUUUUUCUAUUUCUUCUUUCCUAUCGUAUUACCUUAGUUUUUU
rnacentral:lncRNA from 1 species